GCCUGGGUGGCUCAGUCGGUUAAGCCUGCAACUCUUAAUUGCAGUUCAUGAGUUUAAGCCCCUUGUCAGGCU
rnacentral:tRNA from 1 species